UUUAAAACUUUUUUUUAAUGUUGAUUUAUUUUUGAGAGAGAGAGAGACAGAGUGUGAGCUGGGGAGGGACACAGAGAGGGGAGACACAGAAUCCGAAGCCGGCUCCAGGCUCUGAACUGUCAGCACAGAGCCCGACGCGGGGCUCGAACCCACCAACGAUGAGAUUAUGACCUGAGCCGAAGUCGGACGCUUAACCCACUGAACCACCCAGACUCCCCGCUUUCUGAGGUUUUAGGCCCUGCUUUCUCUUCCUGUGUACAGGGCAAACUCUUCAUUUAAAAGACAAAACCAAUCUGUGACCCUCUUGGGACCACGCGAUGAGUGCAUUGUCGGCCUGUGCGUUACCAAAUAAACCCGCAUUACGGGUGGCUUGAGAGAGCACUUUCAGAAUGGCCAGUUCUGCUGUGCCCUCACCAGCUCUCUGUGGGGCCACAAGAACGGUGGGGACCUCAGCAGGCAGGUGCGUCUGGGCAGGACCUGAGAGGGGGACCCAGCUCCCCAAAGCUGCCCUUUCCCCCUCCAGCUGUGCUAAGGCUGAUUUGCACAGAGAGCUGUUUGCCAACACAAGGAGGGACCCGGGCCACGAGCCCCUGUCUCACCUGUGAAUUUGGGGACUGCUACCAUAGAGGAGAGCCCCUGGGCAUGUCGGCUCACCCAGACGUUCAUGGUGGACUGCCCCCAGCAGCCCCCCCCGGGUCCCAUAGACCCAGCCUGCCACAGGAGGGCUCCUAGUUCCUCAAAGGGCUUUAUGGCUGAGAAUUUUGAAACCAGGGUUAUAAGUCACUCUAAAUAUCUAUGUGACAGACACACAUGUUCUCAGGUGCAUAUGUGCCUUGAGGGUUCUGAUUGGGUAACAAUAAUAUAGAUAGUGGGACCACGGCCAACUAUGGGCGGAGAUCCCAAGAGCAAGGACAAGGAUGAGCACAAUGACAGACAAGUCAGUAAAUCACGACCAGAAUAUGUGUUCCUGACAAUAGACUGCAACUUGCGCUGAGCUUCCUUAGCAGCCUAAGCGCAGAUAGAAACACGCUCGCCGAGCAGCACAUUCAAGGCGGGGACAUACCUGUACCCACAAGCUCGGCCUUGCAGUACGUGUAACAUGAAACGAUUUCAACUUAAUUUCUUCUGUCUCGAGGCCCCAUCUCCGUCAAUUCAGAGAUGCUCCCCGCAACUGCCUAAUUCUUCCGAAACCUUGGGUGAGCUCUGCCGGAGGGUACAUAGUGACGGAGGUGCAGGGGGGUGGGGUGGGGGGCGGUCCUGGCCGUCAGUUCCUGCCAGCAUCUUCGGAAGUGUCCACUGACACCUGCCAGGUUCUUACGCAGGUCUCCUGCGUGUCACCCUAUUCCAGGGUCUCUUUCUGCUGUUGGGCGCCACGCUGGGUCGUGGGGUGCUCGGGUGCUCGGUGCACCGCCUCGACCCUUUUCUGUAUUCUGGCCACCCUUAGCCCCACGAGAGUCACCAGCUGCUGCUCUGGCACGGAGGGCCGGAGGGAAGGUGGGCAGACUCUGAACUGACUCUCGACUUACCACGCAGCCCUUGCUGCUUUGUGGGGAUUCCCCAUCUCCCCACAGACCCCAGGACACGGCGCCCUCAGAGCUCGGUGGGGUUUCUGGCGUGCAAACUCCAUCUCAGGGAUGGUCCAGUGGUCAGACCGUCUCUGCUCCUAGAAAUCCCCUUUCUUCACCCUGCCUGGUGCUUGAAGACUUGCCCUGAUUCAUCCCUGGUUAUCCAGACCCCAGAGCCUGUCCUUUGAUCUGUGGCUGUAACACUGUUCCCCGGAGCAGUGACGCUGGCCUGUGGCUCUGGGGUGGGGUGAUGGAGGCACAGGCCGAGAGGUACAGAGCUCUGUGGGGGUGGGGUGGCUAAUCGGUUAAUAUUAAAGAACUUCUGUCCCUGUCCCACCCACGUGGAUGUAGAUGUAGAGUUGGGAGAAGUUGUGUGCCAGGUUUUGGGUACGGGGUCGACUGUGGGGCGAGGGGCGGGGGGUGGCGGUGGAGAAGGUUUGGGGCAGAAGCCCCUGACUCUCCUCAAAUUCAGAGUCCGGAGAGCCUGGCGCCGAGAUUUCUACCUUUUGAGGUUCAUUCCUUUGGCAGCCCUUCUGAUGGAAAGAUCUUUGAAAAUGCCUGAUGGUAGUGAAGCUAUGCGUUGUUUAGUGCAUGAUGGCAUGUGGACCCCGGGAAGGGUUACUGGGGCUCCAGCAGAGGAUGGGAUGUGGAUGGACCCCCCCCCCCCGCCCCCACUGGAGAGAGGGGAAGGCUUUUCUGGACCUCUCCCACCCUAUGACCCUGCUCCGAAGGUCAGCGUACAAACAGCGGGAUAAUGUCCUCUGGAUAAUGGACUUCAGCCUUCCCGGUAGACUCCAGGCAACCUGCGAUGAGACCCCACGGACACUUGUGUUCAGCUCUCUUCCUGGGUAACAAGACAUUUAAAAUCACCAGGCUCGCUGUUUCUGGAGGUCUCCCCAGGAGGCCGCGGCUCGAGGACGUGGUCUGUUUCUUUGCUGGGCUUCUCCGCCCUGGGUCCAGGCGACUCCCCAUCCAUGCUAAGCCCCGUAUCUCAGGACCCGGGGACACACGAGGAGCUGUGGAUGUGUGCCGCACGGGGUUGAGCACAUUGGCUGAUGAGAGCAGGUAGGUCCCUAAAGUCCCCUCCCGGAGGUUUGGACUCUGCUCCUAAACCCCAGGGAUGUCUCCGGUGGAUGUGUGCCUCUACAGUUUCGUUCCUCCCAGGGGGAUGGUUUCCGGGGAGCGGGAGGGUCACAUGCUUGGAAAACCGUGCCAGUGUUACAAAGCACUUCUUCUCCUAGUCCCGGAAUAUCCUGGACGGUGCACGUCUAUGCAGUCCCAAAUUUGGACACUGGCAGCGUUUGAUAAGGAACGAUAGUAGUUUGGGUCAGGCAUGAAAGGAAAGGAGCUCACUUACUGUAGGCAGUUUGUAUUUGCAGCGAUGUUUCCAGUUGAUCGGGAUUCGCCCCAUCGUAAGCUGGGGAAGACCCGUGUAUCAGACCUCCGUGACUGUCACACUUCUCAAGCUCGUUUGGCGUCCACGAGUGGGCUUCUGUUCACCUGCGCAUGGCCGUCUGUCACGGUACACGUGACCUCCGUCCAGAGUCCCCGGGACCCUGCUUUCCAAGGACCGAGACAAAAGGCCACGCACAGCUCUUGCCAAAGGAGGGGAUGGCUAUCGGAUCGAGUUGUAAUCAAUGGGAAGAGUGCAUUAAAGCUUUCCCCACCGCUGCAUUUCUCAGGGUCGUUGUUGAAAGUGCAGAUUGUGUUUUAUGCGGGACUGUAAUGAGAAUUUGAAUUCCGUGUGGAGCCUGAAGGGUAAAUGAAAAGUCGUCAGUUGCCCAGCUGUGCCACCGAUGGGUGUCUUUCUCUGCAAUUUAUUCCACGCUUGUUUCCGUUAAUGUAUUCAUCCAGCCGUGCACUGGUUCAUUCAGUCGCCGAUUCGGCCGAGCUUUGCUGAGUGCCCACUGUGUGCCGGGCACUGUGCUGGGCUUUAAAAAUGUCAGAGAUGGCCAGGGCUUUGUUUCUUCUUUUCAUCGGCUCCCAGCCUGGAAGGGGAGAUCGAUGGACAAUGGAGACAUAGGGAAAUGGUUACGAGGCUGCGUGGUGAGAAGGAUCCCGGUUGGCUUUUCUGGAAAUAUGCAGAGCCGAUGGGAGGGAGUGAUCCCUUAGAGAAGGCAUCGGGGAAGGCUUACAAAGAAGGGAUCCUCCUCUCCCAGCCUGAGGACGGCCAGGCUCCAGGAGGUAGGUCCAGGGCACACGGUGUGGGACAGAGAGUCUUCAGGAUGCUGUCACUGUUAAAAGUAAAUGUGUUCAGGAAAAGUGAAGGCGUCUGAGAGGUGGCCACGGGUUCAUGAAUACCGACAGCAUUCGUCACGGUGUGAUAGGAGCGUUUUUUCUAAAUUGGGAAUGGAAGGUCUUAAUGGCCAUCCCCACCUUGAGGGCAGGAAAUGAGACUUUAGGACAAGAAAGUCGGGGGAGCGGCCAGAGAGGCUUCGUCCUCCGGCUUCUCUGGGUUUGUGGGGUGCUCCAGCUCUGUGUGCGCAUGUGACCUUUUCUUUGUGCCCAAGGUGGGGGGGGGGGGCAAGCUCUUGGCAUCUCUCCUUAUAAGGACACUAAGCCCAUCAGACCAGGGCUCCACCUUCAGGACCUCAUUUAACCUGAAUUACGUCCUUAGACUUCCCACCUUCAAACACAGUGUGAUUACACCAGGCAGGGGGCUCAGAGCUUCAGUAUCUGAAUUUUGGUGGAGGGGCACAAAUAAUUAUUUGGUCCGUAACGGACAGGGUGUAAUGAAUGAAACACCAUGCUUGUUGAGCACUUACGGUGUGCCCGGCCCCUCAUGGGCGUUCUCAAAAUUCAGCUGCAGAAAUGGAAAGGCACCUCCGUGGGCCCCCAGGCCCUGUCCCAGGUAGGCGGGGCUGGCCUGCAGGUGUGUAUGCACCCCCUUUCUGGAGAGAGGGAACCGGGGUCUGGGGACUGCAGGGGCGUGUGUGGGCUCUGCCCAUCUGCCCUCCAGCAAUGGAUCUGGGAUCUGAAUACAGUUCAGCACACUGCAGCCCUGCACACGUCCCCCCUUAGGGCUGCCAUAACAGAGCAUCACACACUGGGGACAUCAGGACCCUAGAAAUUGACUGUCCCACACUUCUGGAGGCCGGGAGUCUGAAAUCAAGUUGUUGACAAGGCUCAUUCCUCCUGAAGGAUCUGAGGACAAUCAGUUCUUGCCCUUCUGGUUUCUGGGGACUCCAGGCUUUCAUUGGCUUGGGGCUGCAUGACUCCAGUCUUGGCCUCUGGCUUCAUAGGGCUUUCUUCUGCGUCUCUGGGUCUCCUCCUGUUCUUACGAGGGCCCCUGUCAUUGGAUUUAGGACCCUUAAUGAUAUCUGCAAAGACCCUUCUCAAAUAACACAUGCUGGGUGGACGUGUUAUUUAGGGGACACUUGUCAGCCACCUGCAGGGAUGUUCCUGCACGAACGGGGUGAGCAGACAGGUGUGCACAGGGUCAGCCCGGCUCGUCGUUCCCCACCCAGCCCUGCACGCACAAGGCUUGCGUCGACCGGGCUCCAGCCAAGCCUUUCUCCUCCUGUUUUCCUGUUUGCAGGUUUUGGAUUUUAUUCUUUCACAUCGGAGUUUUUCUCAAACAGCCGCAGAUCUUUGGCGAUCUACUCACGGUUCACAGUGACAUCUUUUCCCAGAUCCUUCUAUCUGUCUGGGAGGUGCGACUUUGAUUUGUGGCAUUCUGGAAGGGGAGAAAGAGAAGAGGAUAGGGCUCCCCAGCCACGUGACUUUUGCUUAAUCGCCCCAAAUUCAGCCUUUACCUUUCGCCACCGGCUGCUACGCCUGAGGCCCCAGGGCCCAGACUCUGAUGGAGCUUCUCUGCAGGAUGCGUCUAGUUUCCUCUUUGGAUAGGGAAGGGUGGUCUCCCGAUUGUGAAGUAGGGGUCGGGUUUGAGGGUCUAAGAUGAUCACAGUGUUUUCAGAUUCAUCCACUGCCGUCUUGGUAAACGGUCAGCAGCUGGCUCCCUGGAGGAAAGAAAAGACGUCCCGAUUUUUAGAACCUGUUGACUCUGGUAGGUCAGUAUUCCCACCGUGGCUGGUUCCAAGCUCGCCGGGUUGAUGCCCCUGGAUGCAGAGUUGAGGAGAGAGGCUCCGUGGCACACGUCCUCAUGUGGCACCUCCAGCAGGUAGACACAGUCACAUUGGUCAUCUCAAGAGCACAGGGAGUGGCAAAAUGUAACAGAAGACUCAGGAAGUGAUGCGUUCUGAGUCAUCGUUACCUCCGUUUUUCAUACAGUGUGUUUAACUGAAGUUCCUAUAAUUUAGGUUUGAUCACCGCUGUGUUGGAUAACCGACGCAGGGAAGUUCUGGAACGUGACAGCCGGCCCUUGCGAACCGGUAUAAGCUGACUAGCACACAGCGCCCCUGAGUCACGUCCUGCCCUCUCCCUGGCACCUGGUAGCUCAAAUUUCUUGUGGCUCCAAUAGAUUUGUUUCUAAUUGGUC